UUUUUUUUUUGACAGGCAGAGUGGACAGUGAGAGAGAGAGACAGAGAGAAAGGUCUUCCUUUGCCGUUGGUUCACCCUCCAAUGGCCGCUGCAGCCGGCGCACCGCGCUGAUCCGAUGGCAGGAGCCAGGUGCUUCUCCAGGUCUCCCAUGGGGUGCAGGGCCCAAGGACUUGGGCCAUCCUCCACUGCACUCCCUGGCCACAGCAGAGAGCUGGCCUGGAAGAGGGGCAACUGGGACAGAAUCCGGCGCCCCGACCGGGACUAGAACCUGGUGUGCUGGCACCGCAAGUCGGAGGAUUAGCCUAGUGAGCCGCGGCGCCGGCCAACCCAUGCUAUAUCUUAUAGAAACAUGAAUCUAUUGCCUACUAUGGCCUGGCACAGUGAACUCUAUGAGGUGGAUGCUAUGAGUAUUCUUAUUUUACAGAUGGCACACGCAAAGAACAAAGGCUGUCUGAGAAUAGAAUACAGAUAAGUGAAGGGCCUGAGAUUGAACCCAGAUACUGUCUCUCCAGAGUGAGAUGCUCUCUGUGAGUGUUAAAGCUGCUUCUCUCUUUCAGCUCUCAGAUCAUAAGUGACACAGGGACUGAGUCCUCAGAAUUUUUCUCUUUUGAGAUCAGAAUUGCUUGAUAUGUCAGUGCACACUAUGAAUAAGUCAGUAUAUUUCAGGCAGUGACAAUGCACUGCGAGAUUUUUGUAUGAGACUCCAUCAAUGCUGGCCACAGUGAAGACAAGCUGCAUGGAUAUCUGAAUUAUAGUUCACAGAAAUAAGCUUUGCAGACUUUGAUUUGAUCACAUGCAUCUAAAUUCAUGAGAUAAUGAGCCAUGUCAUGGAUGCUAUCUGGAGGUAUUUGAAGAAUGCACCUGUGAAUUCUUAUCUGGGAGCCUCUCCAGAAGACUGUCAGAGAAAAUUGCAUGCUCUCUUCUUGUUGGCCCAUGUCAAUACAUUCAGAAAUUAAAAGUUGUGAAAGCCUGAUGAUGUAAAUGCCAGUGAACAGUAACAGACAGAGGGUAUUAUCCAAAUGUGCAUAAUUGUUAUGAUAUUUCUGAGAAAUGUAAAAUAAUAGAAUUAAACAAAUUAAGAAUAACACGAGGGUCUUUGAGGGUCUCCUGAUCUUGCUCUGACAAGAUUUUGACCUCUUUUCCGUCAAAGUUCCCUCUCAUUCCCUAGCCAUACUGGCCCCUUACUGUUAUUCUCCUGCCUGGGGCUUUGGUCUCCUUUCCCUCUGCCGCCUGGGAUCCCUGCUUCGGAAGGUCCAAAGAAUUCACUCCCACACUUCUUCCAGGCGCCUGCUCGAUGGCCACAUAAUCAGAACAGCCUUGCCUUACACCUUCAGCUGGACUGUUCCCCAACCCCAAGUCCCUCACUGCACUUUCCUUUUUUUGAGGGUGUCAUAGCCUUAUUAUAUGGCAAGUAUUUGUGCUUAUUUGCUUACUGUUGAUUCCUACUAUUAGAAAUGGAGCUUCAUGAGUAUGGGAAAGUUUUUUGUCCACUGACAUAUCUUCUGCACUAUAGAAGCGCUUUGAGCCCUAAUAAAUAUUUAUUGAAUGAAUGACGCAAUGAUGAAAAGAGAGGAAUUAUAAAUGCAUUUCCUUGCAGACUUGCUGAGCUUGUGUUGAGAAAUGUAAUAGUGACCACUGGGUGGCCACAGCUGCCUUCACCAUCCACAAGGAGUCAUGCUCCCUGCUGCCCACGUUGUGCCUAAGAGUUCUGCACGCUAUCUUUCUUCUGGGUGGAGGGCUACAUGUUGUUUCUCUUGGUUCUAAUUAUCCAAGGGAAUUGAUCCUGUAAAAGACCUCGUCAAAUCCAAUUUUCAGUCUACUUGGGAAUCCAUCCAAAUCUUCUCAUUGAUUUACUGAACAUUUACUGAGCACCUAUUGUGCUUCCAGUGCUGAAGGGACAGAGAUGAAUGCUGUAGCAUCCCUAUUUCCAAGGAACUUGCUCAGGUAAACUGGAGAAGGCAAGUGAAGAGAAAUUCACAAUCCCUGCUGAUUAACACUCUGACCUGGGAACAAGAUGUAGAACAUGCAGGAGGGGCACUGACCUGCCCUGAAGGGCACAGUGUGAAAGAACAGGCUUCCCAAGUGGGACAACAAAACUUGGAGCAAAACGAAGGAUGAACUAGGUGGAGGUGGUGGAAGACUUUCUAGGAGAGGAAGAGCUGAGAGGAGUUGACACAUUUGGAACUAAAGUGGAUCAUUCUGCUUGAAGAAUGAAGUACAAUGUACGAGAAGAGGGAGAUGAAGCUGGAGAAAUAGCACUUAAUGUUGCAAGGAAAAAAUGCCUCCUUGCUGUGUUGGUCAUAUGAGCAGAAGCUACCUGAUAAAUGGUUCUAGUUUGUAAACACGUUCAUGAGAAGGCAGAGUUAGACGGUGAGAGAGAGACAGAGAGCAAGAUCUUCCUUCCGUUGGUUCACCCCCCAAAUGGCCUCUACAGCCGGCAAGCUGCGCUGAUCUGAAGCCAGGAGCCAGGGGCUUCCUCCUGGUCUCUCAUGUGGGUGCAGGGCCCAAGCACUUGGGCCAUCCUCCACUGCCUUUCCAGGCCACAGCAGAGAGCUGGCCUGGAAGAGGAGCAGCCGGGACAGAAUCCCGCGCCCCAACUGGGAUUAGAACCCAGGGUGCCGGCGCCACAGGUGGAGGAUUAGCCAAGUGAGCUGUGGUGCCAGCCUUGACCUUGCUUUUAAAAUCUGCUCUUGACAUGGUCCCAUCUUGCUUCCCUUUAUGUGAGAGUACCGAAAGUACCACUCACAAACGGUAUUGAGUCUAUGUUGCAGUUCUGCAGCAUCAGGAUCAGGAGUAGAACAUCAGUGUAGAAGAGAAUGCUUUAAUAUAUAAAGAAAGAUGUUAGGAAUUAGAUGUGUUAAUAUGUUCAUAAGUGGGAGUAUUGAAGACUUAGUGCCUUCAAGAAGAUACUCAUGUCCCAAUAGGCUGCUUCUAAAGCUUAAACUGGCUUGGAUAGAGCCUUCCCCAGGUUUGUGGGUGGAGGUGGUAUCUGGUACCACUCAGGGGAGAAUCUGAACCAUACAUCUUAUUUAAAAGGAAGAUGAUUUUUCUAAAAUAGAUUUCCUACAUUGGAAAAUGACGUCCAUCAUAUAUGGUAGUUGUUUACUUUUUGCAAACUUGUUUUCUCACCCAGUUUGUUUAUCAAACAAAUGUAUAAACUACUGUUCCCUGCACUCCUAAGUUUUCCUUAUUUUUGUCAUAGGUGCUGUAGCUUGCCUGCUCAGAUAACUUUUUUCUCCUCUGAGAAAAUAACUUUUAACUUUGCAAAAUGAAAGCUACCAUAAAGUGACCUGAAAGUUACUGCUUGUCUAGUGUCUGCUGAUUCCAUAUUUUACUGGGUGAGAGUGCGGAGGAGGCCUUUGGGGCGUUGGCUCUCAGUGCCAUCUGGACUGAAGAUAUACAUUGGAAGUUAACAACACAAAGAGUGUCGCUGAGAUUUUAGAUUUUAGAUCUGGAUGGGAUCACCUAGAGAGAGAGAAUGAUAGAUAAGAGGUAAGGUCUUAAAACUGCACUUCGAUGCUUCAGUGUUUAGAAGUUGGAGGGUCUAAGGAGGGAUAAACAAAGGAAAAUGGGAGGGGUGAGUAUUUGGCACAGAGAGUUAAGUGACCACUUGAGACCCCUGCACCCUAUAUUGAAUUGAAGUACUUGAGACUAGUCCUCACUGUGCUCUCCAUCCCAGCCUCCUACUGAUGCACACCCUGGGAGGCAGCAGGUGAUGGCUCAAGGCCUUGAGUUCCUGCCACCUCCAUGGGAGAUCCAGAUUGAGUUCACUUGACUUUAGUUUGACUUUAGUUUGGCCCAGCACCAGCUGUUGCAGGUAUUUGGGAAUGGGCUGGUGGAUGAGAGAUUCAUAUUCUCUCUCUCUCUCUGCCUUUCAAAUACAUUAAAUAAAUGUUAAAGAUUUAAAAAGGAAAUUGUUGGAGCUGGCGCUGUGGUGAGGAGGUUAAAGCCCUGGCCUGAAGCGCUGGCAUCCCACAUGGGCGCCACUUCUAGUCCUGGCUGCUCCUCUUCCAAUCCAGCUCUCUUCUAUGGCAUGGGAAAGCAGUAGAAGAUGGCCCAAGUGCUUGGGCCCCUGCACCCACUGGGAGUCCUAGAGGAAGCUCCCAGCUCCUGGCUUUAGAUCUGCACAGCUCCGGCCAUUGUGGCCGUCUGGGAAAUGAACCAGCGGAAGGAAGACCUCUCUCUGUCUCUACCUCUCGCUGUAACUCUGUCAUUCAAAUAAAUAAAAUAAAUCUUUAAAAAAAGGAAAUUGUCUACAAUAAGUUUGUUGGUGGCUGUUUUGAAUGAUUGUAGAGACAACAGCAUGAUUGAAGUGAUUGAAGGGAAAUAUGGGAGAGGAAAUGAAGACCAUAAUAAAGACUAUUUCUUUUUUAGGGUUUUGCUAUAAAGAGCAACACAGAAAUAUGGAGGUAGCUAGAGUGAGAUGUAGGUCAGUAAGAUUUUUUUUGUUCCUUUUCUGUUUUUGUUUCUGAUUUCAUGAUGGGGGAUGCUCUGUCAUGUCAUUUAAUUGAAGGAAAAGUCCAGUGGAGAGUGGCAGCAGGUAGAGAUUUAUAAUUGUGUUUUUGGCUUUGGCUAAAGUAUUCCUGCCGAAUGUCCAUAAAACAGAUGUAUUUUGGCAUUAGGGCGCCUCCUGGCCCACGGGUGGGUGGGAGUUCCCUUUACACUUUGUAACAAAGUCAGCACCAUGACAGAGGCUCACACAUCACCCCAUUUACAAAGCUAAUAAAGAGGGCAGUCAGAGGCCUGUGUGCUCACAAGGUAGGCUGGUGUGAUCAGAGAAGGAGAUUUAUGACUCUAAGUGAGCCACAGUAUUAAAAGGUCACAAAUAACAUUUCCCAUCCUAAGACCCUCUACUCUGAGAGAAUUCAUUUGACAUAAUUGUGAGCCGUUGUAGUAACCUGUGGUUAGUAACCCCUGCCAGACUGGCAAGGGCAUGACAAUGCCCCUUGCUGUGGUGAUGUCUAAGGCUUCCUCCUAGCAGUGUCCUCUGCUUCAGUGGCUGCGGAAUAGAUUCUCAACAAAACUGAGAAAUUAUUUUCCCACCUGCUUGAGAAAUCAAACUGUGCUCCCUUCUACACUGGGUGUGGUGUGACUGUCAAAUCGCUGCUUAGGAAAUUUGGCCAUCUUUGACUUACUGCCUCUGAAUGUCUUCAUUGCUUCAGAGAGCAUGCCCAUUCACCUGGGUGUCUCUUGAUUAAAGGUAUUUGCAAUCUGUUUUCAAUAGAGGCUAAACUGAGGUUUACUUUUGCCCAAUCUAUAGUAGAAAACAUUUUUUUAAAUGGACAUGUAUGCGUGUGAGUGGGUGUUGAAAGUGUGUUUGGGGGCCAGAGCUGUGGCGCAGUGGGUCAACGCCCUAGCCUGAAGUACCAGCGUCCUAUAUGGGCACCAGUUCGGGUCCCAGCUGCUCCACUUCUGAUCCAUCUCUCUGCUAUGGCCUGGGAUAGCAGUAGAAGAUGGCCCAAGUGCUUGGGCCCCUGCACCCACAUGAUAGACCCAGAGGAGGCUCCUGGCUCCUGGCUUCAGAUCAGCACAGCUCUAGCUGUUGCAGCCAACUGGGGAAUGAACCAUCAGAUGGAAGACCUCUCUCUCUCUCUGCCUCUUCUCUCUCUGUGUAACUCUGACUUUCAAAUAAAUAAAUAAAUCUUAAAAAAAAGAAAGAAAGUGUGUUUGUUCACCGAUAGAAACUUUUCAGGCACCUGUUUUUCUAGAAAGAGCCAUCCUAUUGUUACAGAGGUUGACACAGUCUCUCCUGGGCAACAUUCUGGUGGUUAAGUGAUUCCUAUGCACUUAAGUAAAUUAAAACAAAACAAGACAAACAAAAACAAAACUACUCUCACACCAUCGAUUCACUUGUACACUGAAUAUAACGUUCUGGUAAAAAAGGCUAUGAAAAUGGUUUCAAUCAAGGGUCAGUGGAAACUAACAGAACUCAGCCACUCUAGGCGGCCAGCUGUGGAGAUAGUAUGCUUUUUUGUUGUCUUGAUUUGUCAAAACUGAAAAAAUAAAAUAAAAUUCACUCUCUUAUCUACAGAAUUAAAUAACAGAGGACUAUUUUCAUUAUCAAUUAGGAAGCACUGAGAUGCAAAGCAUAAUCAGGAAGAUAUUCGGGGAGCUAGAAAUCUCCAUCAAGUGGGCUUUUGCAGCAUUCAGGCUAAUCCCAGUGUUUUGCUUUGAUUACUUUGGGUACCAUUUAGUCCACUUACUGUAUCAUCUUGUAAUUGCCCUGCACAGUUUUUCAUCACAAAAGUAGUUACGUUCUCUCGUUGUUUGACACGAAGUGUAAAGCAAAAGUAUUUAAAACGUCAGGCUACUUUGGUAUGUUAUACCACAAAGGAGGGAGCAGAUGUUUUUAAAUAAACAUCAGCCUUGGUUGUGCGUUGCUGAGACACUGAGAGAGCCUUUUUCAGAAGCAGGGGCAGCUCAUGAAUUUAGAGGAGGCUUAAAUACUGUACUUUCACAUAAAACCAUAAAAAGUUGGCAGAAGUAUCAGGGGCCAAUGAAUGGGCAUAGAGUUGAGCAUGUUAUAACUCAGAUUACCAAUAAAAAUGUCAGCCUCAAAUCUGAAGUGAAUAGUUUUGUAAUUCUGAACUGAAAGCAUUUUUUAAUUGCUUUCAAAUGGAAAAACUUCAUAUAAUUUAAUAAAAUUUAUCUACUUUAUUAUCAAGAAGGCUAUUAUUGCAGCAAAGGGAAAUGGAGGAUUUAAAUGUCAUUCCCAGCAUCUAAUUUCCCAGCUCUUUUAUUGGGAUGUUAUUAAAACAAGACCAAAUGGACUUUGCUACAUCCAUAAAAGCUAGUCAAGCAGCAAGAGUUCAUCUGGGCACCGUGGAAUCGUGAAAUGAGGCCUGGAGCUGCAGCCUGGCUGGUGCAGGGCGUGACUUGCCCUGGAAGCAGGUGUGAUGUAUCAGGAGCAGUGUUUUGGCAUUCUAGGGUUUGUGGAGUCUAAAGAGCAGCUGGUUCAGGGAGAAGCAUGCCAGGGACAAUCGCUAUCUUUGUACCCAAGGGAUCUAUUUGGUUCUUUAAUGUAUGUUGUGAAUCAAGUAAAUGCUUUGAAACAAAUGAUGGUGAGGCUGGGCUGGGUUCUGGACAGAGCUGGUAGGAGUGGUCUUUUGUCUGCUAGAAAACAGUGCCACUAACAGCUUACUAAGUGAGUAUCUGGGUCUGGAAUGCUUUUUAUUAACCAUCGGGAUAAAUUCUAGGGCUGACUGGAGGAUAGAACAGCUUGUGGACAUUGGAUCUAUUUAAAAUAAAAUCCUUACAAUAGAGAGUAGGUGAUAUCCUGGUAUCUGGCUGUAAGGAGGAGCUGUCAUUAGUAGGAAAGCAUAGGAAGGGAGAUAAACAUUUUAUGAGUACUAUUAAAGUGCAAGGUAACUGUAGUGGCAGUUACAGCAAUAACCUUUUCUAAGAACUUAGCAUUCACCAGCCAUAGUGCUAAAUAGUAUGCAUAUUUUUCCAUUCACAAUAAUAUUCUGAAGGUAUUAUUUUAAUUUUAACAAAUGAUUCUAAAACCCAAGUUUUCCCCUGCACUGUUUCUUGUUCUGCUCUGCCUUGCAGCAUAUCAUUGAUACUAUGGAGCAUACGGUGUCAGCUUAGUUUCCUGGGAAAGAAAUAUCACUGCUCGAUUUCAAACACCACGAAUGUAUUACAAGUGUAGGAUGCUUUUCUGGGUGGCCUUGGACUGAUCUAGUUCUCCCCCCCAUUUCUUACUUGUAGUUCUCAAGAAUAUUUAUAAAAUGUGUUGGGAAUGCAACACGCUGAGAUAAGGGAGAGCUGACCAGAACAGCCUGGGCUCUGUCCUACUCUCUUGCUCCUGACACUGGAAUAGGAUGUCUAUCAAUGCUCUGCACCAGAGAGACAUAUGAUUCCAGUAUGUAUAACCUGAGACAGGCUACAUUUCCAGGUCCUUCAUGGGAAGUUUAAACUCUGUCCACUUAAGGCAGCUUCCUUAGCUUUGGAGGACCUUACAGUGCUUUGAAUGGAUCCUAGAUAUUUGUUGUCCCUUCAUGCCUGUCUGUAAAUAAACAACUUCAUCUAUCCAACUUGUUGCAUGCCAAUAUUCUUUCUAACUGGACCAGAGCAAGUUAUUAAGCAGUGUGAAGUAAAACUGUUUCAUAAUAACCUUUAUUAAACAAAGCCUAUGAUUCUGUAUGUAAAUUGUAAUGAGAACUACUACAACAUGAAUGAUCAGAUCAAUGAGCAAGUAAAACUAUUUAAUGCUUAGUUAUGCUAUGAUCAGUCUAUGUUCAGCGCUCUGAACUCAAAUCUUUGGUCAGGAGAAGACUGUAAGAAAGGACCUACCAAAGGAUCACAAAGUGUGUGUGUGUGUGAGAGAGAGAGAGUAUUUGUGUGAGAGAGAAUCAAUAUGCACAUAUGCACAUGUUUCUCUAGAUUUUAUCCCCAGGAAUGUAAUAGUUGGCUCAAAAGGCAUGCCUUUUGUUUGUGUAUGAAUUUAAUAGCAAUUUUAAAGCUAAUUAAAAGAAAAUCUACAAUCGCAACACCUAUAAGUAAUCCUGAUGUAUUUCUGGGCUAGCCCAUCUUUGUCCAUAUUCUGACACUAUUUUAUAAUGUUACCAUCAUUAUUGAGAAUUUUAAAAAAAUGGGUGACAGCAGUAAUAGUGAUAUAUGGAGACAGAUAUCAAAUCCUAGUUCUGUCAUUUAUAAUCUUGAAAAUAAUUACUGAAAUAUUUUCCACUUCAGAUUAGCCUUACGUACGUGAGGAUGAUGCUAGUGUCUGUUCAUGAGGUUGCUGAGAUUUAAUGAGAUGAAAUAUAUUAAGCACUUGGCUUAGCAAGAAGAACAGGGAAUGUAUUCAAGAAAGACGGGUUUUAUUAUUGUGUGGUUUUCAUACUUCACAUGUCAUUUUUAAAUGUGCCUUUGACCAUUCAAAAACUAUGAUUUGAAGGGAAAAUGAAUAGUAAUCGUACUGAAGUAUUAGUGCAUUUUCUGUUGCUGUAAUUAAAUGCCUGGGGUUAGAUCCUUUAUAAAGAAAAGAGGUUUAUUUUGCUCAACGUUCUGGAGAUUCAAGAGCAUGGUACCAGCUUCUGGUCAGCCCUUGUGAGGGUCUUCUGGCUACAUUACAACAUGGUAGAUGACAUCAUGAUGGGACCAUAUGCGAAAGGGAGAGACCACAUGGUGAAAUAGCCAGCGGUAUGCAGGGACCAGGCUUCUUCUUUUUAUAACACCCUGCUCUCAGGGAACUAUGUGGGAUGCUGAGAAAACUACAUUAUCCCCUCUUGAGGGCAGAGACAACAUGCUCUGAUUACCUCCAGUAGGUCCCAGGCUUAAAGAUUUCACUACCUUUCUUAUUUAUUUAUUUAUUUAUUUAUUUUGACAGGCAGAGUUAGACAGUGAGAGAGAGAGACAGAGUGAAAGGUCUUCCUUCCGUUGGUUCACUCCCCAAAUGGCUGCUACGGACGGAGCCGUGCUGAUCCGAAGCCAGGUGCUUCCUCCUGAUCUCCCAGGAUCUCCCAUGUGGGUGCAGUGCCCAAGCACUUGGGCCAUCCUCCCCUGCACUCCUGGGCCACAGCAGAGAGCUGGACUGGAAGAGGGGCAACCGGGACAGAAUCCGGCGCCCCAACCGGGACUAGAACCUGGGGUGCCGGCGCCACAGGCAGAGGAUUAGCCUAGUGAGCCGUGGCGCCAGCCUGAGAUUUCAGUACCUUUUAACAUCUCCCCACUGAAGAAUGCAGUUUCAGAAUGUGGAUCUUUUGGGGACAACCCAUAUUAACUGUAGGGAGGUCGCAUGAUGUUAAUUUGGGGACAACUUGAGGACUACAACCAGGUUUAGUCUCUUCCAUGCCAGAAUUUUAAGUUAGACAGUCUAGAAUAAACAACUGCCUCAUCCAGGUCACUAAGGUAUAAAUGAACUGUACAGAUAAAGUCUGUUUAUUUAAUUUAUUUGGAAGGUAGCGUUACAGAGAGAAAGGAGGAGAGAGAGACAGAAAGAGAGAGAUAGAGAGAUUUCCAUCCACUGGUUCACAACUCAAAUGGUUACAAUAGCCAGGGCUAUGCCAGGAUGAGGCCAGAAGCCCAGAGCUUCUUCCAGGUCUGCCACAUGGGCGCAGGCACCAACCACUUAGGACAUCUUCUGCUGCUUUCUCAGGCACAUUAGCCUGAACCUGGAUUGGAAGUGGAGUGGCCAGGUCUCAAACUGGAACUCAUGUAAUAUGCUGGUGUUAUAGCCAACAGCUAAACCUGCUACAGCUUAAUGUUUGCCCCUCCUUUAAAGUUUCAGUAUAAAAGUCUAAUCCAAAUGCUGAAGUCAGGUUUUUUUCUUAUUUUGAAUCUUGGCUCCAGUCACUUAAUUGCACUGUGACAUUUGGGUGGGAUGCCUAAUAUAUGUGGAUUUCAGUGCCCUGAUAUAUUAUAUAUUAAUUACAUAUUAAUAUAUAUGAUAGUAUAUAUAUUAUCAAGUGUUAAAUAUAGCAUUGUCUGAAAAUUAAAUGAGAAAUUAUAAAAUGCGAGUGUUGAAAAUGAUGUGGAGAAAUUGAAACCCUUAUAUAAUGCCUAUGUGUAUAUAAAAUGGUGCAGCCAUUUGGAAAAAAAAGUUUGGUAGUUCCUUUAAAUGUUAAACAUAGAGUUUCCAUAUCACUCUGCAAUCAUACUCCUAGGAAUAUAUCGAGAGUAUUCAAAAUACUUGUCCACACAAAAACUUGUACAUCAAAGUUCAUAGCAGAAUUAUUCACAAUAGCCAAAAGGUGGAAGAAAUGCAGCUGUCCAUCAAGACGUGAAUGCAUAAAUAAAAUAUAGUAUAUCAACCUAAUGAAAUAGAACCAAGCCACAGACAUAAGAAAUGAAGGACAAAUGUAUACCAGAACAUUGGUGAAACAAAAAUAUUGUGCUAGUGAAGAAAGUCAGACACAAAAGAUCACAUAUUUGAUGAAUUCUUUUACACAGAAUGUCCAAACUAGACACAUUGAUAGCAUCAUAAGGGAAUUGGUAGUUACCAGGGACCAGUGGGAGAGAUAAAUGUGGAGUUACUGCUAAUGAGUCUGAAGUUUCUAUUUUUUUCCCCAAAGAAACCUUUUAUUUAAUGAGUACAAAUUUUGUAAGUACAAUUUAAGGAAUAUAGUGAUUCUUCUCACCCUAACCACCCUCCUACCCCCACUCCCAUCCCACCUUCUCCUCCCUCUCCCAUUCCCAGUUCCAUUCUCCAUUAAGAAAAAAAAAAGACUUUUCCUUGAUAGUCAAGACAGGGGCUUGGUUGCUUCUCAAAGUGUCAAUUUCACUACUACAGAUUUCCUUUCAGGUGCUCUAUUAGUUAUCACAGAUCAGGGAGAACAUAUGGUAUUUGUCCCUUUGGGACUGGCUUAUUUCAUUAAGUACGAUAUUUUCUGGAUUAACCCAUUUUGUUGCAAAUGACCAGAUUUCAUUUUUUAUCUCUGUGUAGUAUUCCAUAGAGUAAAUAUCCCAUAAUUUAUUUAUCCAUUCAUCAGUUGAUGGGCAUUUAGGAUGAUUCCAUGUCUUAGCUAUUGUAAAUUGAGAUGCAAUGAGCAUGGGGGUGCAGAUAACUCUUUUAUUUGCUGAUUUCAUUUCCCUUGGGUAAAUUACCAGAAGUGGGAUGGCUGAGUCAUAUGGUAGGUUGAUAUUCAGAUUUCUGAGAUAUCUCCACACUGACUUCCAUAGUGGUUUUACCAGUUCCCAUUUCCACCAACAGUGGAUUAGGGUAUCUUACCCACAUCCUUGCCAGCAUUUGCUGUUUGUUGAUUUCUGUACGAAAGCCAUUCUAACUGGGGUGAGGUGCUGAGGUUUCUAUUUGGAGUGAUGAUCAAGUUCUGGGUUUAGAUUGUGAAGGUGAUUGUACAACAUUGUGAAUAUACUGAAAGAACUGGAUUAUAUACUAUGAAGGGUAGAUUGAUGUCACGUCAAUUAUAUGUCAAUAAGUAGAAGUUAAAGAUUAAAUAAGACUAAAAUAUGUGAAACAGUACAGUUUCUGUCAUCCCGUAAGUGGCAUGUUCUCCUAUAAGCUUUAUUAUUAGAAUUACUUUUUUUUUUAACACUUAGCAUCCUCCAUUGGAAAGUUUCUGAUGUGUGCUUUGUUUUUAGAAUUAUACCAAGAUUCUUUUGUUAUUCCUGUUUAGUCUAAAAUAGUCUUUUCAUAAUCCUAUUGAAUGUGAAUUUCACACAUCUGAUUAAUGAAAUUUGGAACAGUAUUUAUCCAGGAGAUACAAAGUAACUAGCAUGAUUACUUUUUUUAUUGAUUUUUAAAAAUUUAUUUGAGAGAGUGUGUGUGUAAGAGAGAGAGAGCACCCAUCUCCUAAUUUACUCCCCAAAUGCCAGCAAUGACCAGAGUCAAUGUGGUUCUGGGCCAAGUUGGGAGCUAAGAAUUCAAUUCAGGUCUCCCACAGGGUAUUAAGAAUCCACUUACUUGCACCAUUACUGGUGCCAGGAUCUUCAUUUUAGCAGUAAACUGGAAUCAGAGGUCAGGCAUGGGAAUUGAACCAAGGUACUACAGUGCGGGGUGACAGGUGCUUUAACAGGCAUCUUAACUGCUAGGCUAAAUGCCUUUUAUUUAUUUAUUUAUUUAUUUACUUAAGGAAAACUUGUAAACUAUUUAUUGAAUAGAUGUGAUUUUGUGUUCAUUUUGAAAUCAUCUUCCAAGGUAUAGCAGAGAGAUGUGCUAACAAAAAGAAAAAAUUUUGAUGAUCUCAAAAGUCUUUCAUGUAAUCUCAAUAAUUUUAACAUAAGAAAAAAUGUAAACAUUGCUUUAAAAUAAGGGCUAAAAAUUACAUUCUUAUUUUCAGUGCAGAAGUAUAGUAAUCCAAUAGUUGUGUAAAAACAGUUUAAAACAUUCAGAAAACUUCAGCAGCUUUCCAGCCUGAAGGUAGUUGACCUGGACAUAUUAAACAUGGGUGAUUUUUAUUUUUGAGUGAACCAAUAGAUAGAAGACCUCUCUUUCUCUCCCUGUCUCUCCCUCUCUCUCAUUCUGCUUUUCAAAUAAAUAAAGAAUAAAUACUUUUAAAAAGGAUCCUAAAAUUUUUCAGCCGUUUAAAUAAAAAAUAAAAAGCUCAUAUUAUAAAUAAAAUUACUCAGUUGAUCUUUCUAGAUCCUUAUGUAGUCUAUCCAAUUCACCCUUUAAUAUUUCCUUCCUAUUAAUUCAUUUAAUCUUUCCUCUCUCACCAAGUUAGGUACUAAUGACAUUUCAACACAGACAUAUUAAUCCUCAAAGAUGGCAAGAGAUUAUAACACAAAUAGCAACAAUAAAGCAAACCUGAAAGUAAUAAGCUGUCAGUGACAUGAAGUAUUUUCUCAAGACAAAAACAUGUGAGAAGAGAGAUAUUGUUCAUGAAAUGAUUCCAGGAUUGUAGGCUGAAAAGAUGGCGGACCCACCUGACAAGGUAGAAUGCUUCCCUCUUUGCUAAAAAUGGCCUACCCAAAACCCUGACCUUUGAACUGUGUCACUCUGUUCUGAGCACCCUCCAGGGUCAGGCAUGUGUUUCUUGCUGCAUGCUUUGCCUGAGAAAAUGAAAAAUGAAGGCAGAGGCCAUUGCAAACCUGGCUAAAAGAUCCAGGGAAAAAUACAUUUUAGAAUUAGAGACUUCAGAAGUAUUAAUAUAGCCCUUUCAUUUACUGAAACCACAACAUAAAUAGGAACUAUACUUAGGUUGUGAGCUUUUUAAAGACAGUCUCAUGUAAAGGUCUGACAAGUAUGCAAAGUGUAAAACAACCUAUGUGCUAAACUACAUGUGCUUUGGGGUAAUGUGCACCUGGUAAUAAAGGGAAGUAUUAAGGUGAAUGUGUACUCAUAGACCUCCCCACAAACAAAAUAGGGAUACAGAAAAACAAACAAACAAACAAACAAAAAACCUCCCAUCUCAGCAGCAAGCCUAUCAUUUAUGAAACUCCACAAAAGGUAGCAAGGAUUCCAGUUGCAAAAGUUCGUAAAUGCCCAGAUAAUGGCUAAUACCACUUUGAUAAUCUCAUAGCGUGUUCUGUAGAUGUUUAAUCACAUUGACAUUUACCUCUGACACCAAGAGGGCAUGUGUAACUUUCUGCUAACAAACAUCAAUUUAACCUAUUAAUAGGCGUUUAUUUGUCUUUCUAUUUACUCUGUUGGUCCUUCUGGAAAAUCAAUAUUGAUUAUGCUAAAGACCUUCUGUGCAAAUUAUGGAAGACUUUUGCUUUUCCAUGUAACUUUUCGGGUAUCUAGCUGGAAAUUUUAUUAGAAUUUUCUUGUUUGUCCCCCCACUCACACCCUUUGAGUUGAAAGCCAAAUUAAAAUUUAGGAUAUCUGGAAGAGAUAUUAUUUUGCAGUUGGAGUUUUGUGCCCACUUCAAGCUAUAAUUCCAAAUUCUCUUUUCAAAUCUGAGGGCAUGAGUGGUACCAGCUGUAAUAUUGGGAGCUCCUUGGUAGAUGACAAGGGAAUCACAGGGAGCCUCUGUACCUUUGGGAUUACAGAUCCUUGGCAUCAUUCAGCUCCUGCAUGUACAUUUGUUCAUCACAAUAUCGCAGCUUCCUUGAGCUGAAGGCAUACUUCUUAUUUCAUGUUGGAAGGAAGAGUAAUCUCCCUUUCUGCAUGACCUAAAAACCCAAAUAGAGAGGUUCAGGCAAUUUGAGGAAUUGUCCAAGCUUCCGCCGCUGAGGACAAAGAUCGCCUCAAUCUUAUUUUGCCUGGAGAAUUCUGUCCUUCUUCAUCCAGUUGCUCCUUUCCUGCCCACUUCAGAAUGGGCAUAGGCCACACUAAAUAAGAAGAGAAGAGCUUCCCUAGCCAAAGGAUCUUCAGAUUUUUUUGUUUUGUUUUGUUUUUUGUUUUCGUUACAAAGCCCUUUACAGGAAAAUGAUCCUACUGAUGUGCCUUCACCAGCUUAGGAAUCAGCACAUAUGUUGUCAACACUCACCUGUUUAUUGGAAGAAAAGAGGGUGGCAGAAAGGUGAUGGCAGAACAGAAAUACACAAGUUCUUAUUCUGGGUUCUCAUCCAGAGGUAGCAAACUGGCAGCCUGCUGCUUGGAUCUGGCCUCAGUGUGUUUAGUUUGGCUCUCAUAGUAUCAGCCCACACAGUGUUUUACGUUUGAAUUCUUACAUUUAAAAAAAUAGAGAAAUUUCACAUAAAUUCCAAACCCUUGAAAAGCACUCGAGAUACACUUGGCUCCUAUCGCCCUAUUUUCAAAAUGUCUAUAAAAGAUCAGUUUUUAGAGACCAGUGUGAUAUUGUGAUUCAUAUUGAAAAAUAUAUUUUACUGUUUGUACUCUAUUCUUGACUUGAGGAUCUCAUUCCCUGGGAAAGUCCCAGGAGAAAGGAACUUUUUUUUUGUUUUGUCUUAAUGAGGUGACUCAUGGGGAGCUCAAGAAACUCAACAACAACAACAAAAAUAAAAGUCCAGUUAAGAAAUGAAUGGGAAAAGGACUUGAACAGGCGUUUUUCAAGAGUGGAAAUUCAUUGGCCAACAGACACAUGAAAAAUUGCUCAAGAUCAUUAGUCAUCAGGGAAAUGCAAGUAAAAACCACGGUGCUAAGGUUUCACUUCACCCCAGUUAGAAUGGCUUUCAUACAGAAAUCAACAAACAAUAAAUGCUGGCAAGGAUUUGGGGAAAAAGGUACGCCAGUACACUGUUGGUAAGAAUGUAAACUAGCACACCAUUGUGGAAGAUAGUAUGAGGAUAUCUCAGAAAGCUGAAAAUAGAUAUACCAUAUGACCCAGCCAUUCCACUCCUGGGAAUUCACCCAAAUGAAAUGAAAUCAGUAUAUGAAAGAGUUAUCUGUACCGCUAUGCUUAUUGCAGCUCACUUCACAAUAGGUAAGAUAUUGAGUAAUCUAAAUGUCCAUCAACUGACGAAUGGAUAAAGAAAUUGAAAUAUACAUAUGACUGGAUAGAGAAUUGAAAAAAAUAUAUAUAUAAUGGAAUACUACUCAGCCAUAAAGAGAAUGAAAUCUUGUCUUUUGCAACAAAACGGAUGCAACUGGAAACCAUUAUACUCAGUGAAAUAAACCAGUUCCAAAAGAACAAAUACAAUAUGUUUUCACUGAUAGCUAAUAGAAUAUCAAAAAUGUAAUGUAUAUGAUUGAAAUUGACAUUUUGAGAUUCGAUGACUAUUUACAUCCCUUGUCAUUACUGUUGAGGAAUCAUGUUUUUUUUUUUUUUUCUUUUUGCUAAUUGUUGGAUUCUUUACUUACUGUAGGAUUAAUCUUAUGCAUAUAAAACAGACUGAGAGUAAAUCAUUGUAAAAAUUAAUGGAAGGAAUG